rnacentral:rRNA from 1 species
UACGUAGGCAGCGAGCGUUGUUCGGAGUUACUGGGCGUAAAGAGUAUGUAGGCGGUUGCGUAAGUUUGGUGUGAAAUCUCCCGGCUUAACUGGGAGGGUGCGUCGAAAACUGCGGAGCUAGAGUGUGGGAGAGGAAAGCGGAAUUCCUGGUGUAGCGGUGAAAUGCGUAGAUAUCUGGAGGAAUACCGAUGGCGAAGGCAGCCUUCUGGCCUAAUACUGACGCUGAGGUGCGAAAGCAUGGGGAGCAAACAGG